UACAGAGGGUGCGAGCGUUAAUCGGAAUUACUGGGCGUAAAGCGCACGUAGGCGGCUUGGUAUGUCGGGUGUGAAAUCCCCGGGCUCAACCUGGGAACUGCAUCCGAAACUGCCUUGCUAGAGUAUGGGAGAGGGAAGUGGAAUUUCCGGUGUAGCGGUGAAAUUCGUAGAUAUCGGGAGGAACACCAGUGGCGAAGGCGGCGACCUGGACCGAUACUGACGCUGAGGUGCGAAAGCGUGGGGAGCAAACAGG
rnacentral:rRNA from 1 species